AUCUGAGACCUAAGAUGGCGGCGUUUGCAUAAUGUGAAAGCGAUGCAGGCGUACCAGAUUGGAGAGGCAGGCAAAGGAUGUAUCUGCUAAGGAAGGUUCGGGAACUCGCCAAUACUUGUGCAAGAUUACACACUUUGGGAUUGCGUGGCCUGGCUGGCUGGGGGAGGAGCUGGCCUGCAUUUCAUUUUUCUCUCUCGCUCUCUUCAAAAUAUCGGAGAUUAAUUUUUUUCUCUCCUUAAUAACCUUACUACCAUGGAUAAGCCUAGGUGCUUGCAGAAACUAGCUCCUAGGAGGGAUUCUGGGUCAUUUUCUUCUCUUUUUAACUUGUAUAAAUGGGUUUUUAUUGGCACCGUGCCGCCCGCAAAUGAAAUACUCUAUCUCCCUUAGAGCGCUUUCAGGAACUGCCUAACCUGUUCCGCCUACCCGUCCUUAUUUUUUUAGGGCUACCUUUCGCGUGCAAACUUUGUAGUUUUGAUAUACCAGUCACUUUAUAACAUAUUCAUUGUGGGCUAGAUUAAAAUGUUUUUUUCCUCUUCCCUUUAUAUAUACCCCAGAUGAGGGCUUUUGAGCAUAUAAUAUUUACCAUUUAUUCUGGAAGCAUCCCAGAGGUUGAGGGGUGUGUGUGUGUGUGUAGAUAAUAUUUGGGGGAGUUGGUACAUUAUUUUGUGAAUUGUUAGCUGAGUAAGAAAAGAGCUAUAUUUCCCGCGUUCAUAUCUCCUGAUGAAAAUAAAUUUGUUAAGCAUAAUAUCAUAGCAUAUUUACUAUAAGGGAAAGACAGUACAAUUUAAUUUAAUCUUUUAAAUGAUUAUGUGGUUAAAAAAUUUCACUCAAGAAGCGCUCAUAUUUCACUCAUACAUUUCUGGAGAGUAUGAAUUGCUGCAGCUUUUUGAAGAAAUACUCUGACAACAUUUAGGUAAAUAAAAAAAUACAGCUAUCGCUUGACCCUAAUAGUCUGACUUUUAAGAAUCCAUUCUACAGAAAUAAAAAGACCAGUGUAUAAGGAUUCAUAAACAAGGAAGCCUUUGCAGUUUUGUUUUUGUGACAAGGAACUGGAAACAACCUAUUCCAUGGGAGAAUGUUUGGAAUAAAUUGUGGAACAUUUGUAUUAUGAAAUAUUUUGCAGCUGUGGAAACAUUUGCCUCUUUACACUCUUUUGAUCUAGAAGAUGUUAUAAUGAAUUUUUAUGUGAGGAAAGUUAAGUUUCAGAAUACCCUCUCUAGUAUGAUUUAGUGUUUUAGUGGUGGUACAUUAAUGUUAACUUUUUUUCUUUGUCUUUUUUGGGGGACUUUCUAUAUAUGUUGUGAUAUACUUAAGGACAAACAUAUAAAUAAUAAUACAGAAAACCUCUCUUCUCACCAGCCAG
rnacentral:lncRNA from 1 species